GGAGAUGAUGAUAUGUUUUGACACCCAGGCUUACUUGUAUCCUUCGAUGCAAGAUGGUGAUGUCAAUCGACCUUUUAUCUGAUCC